rnacentral:lncRNA from 10 species
GUAAUGGUGACGUCCCUAACUGGCAGCCUGGGCCCCAGCGUCAGGAGUUGGGCUCAUGGUGACACAAAGGCUCCUUGGAUGCAAGAGCACAAACACCUCAGUGUGAAGGUUUCCUCUGGAGAAGGAGCAUUUCACUAUCCAACAAAAUGUUUAUUCCAGGAUUUUGGUUGAUUUCAUUAAUCAGGUUUAUUUGGCUGAUUUUUUUCUAGGUUCUUGAUUUGCACACAUACUUUUAAAAUUUUAGCCUUUCUUGUUCCCAUUUAAGGCUAAGAAUUAUUUUUUGAGGACACUUGGCUAAGAAGUAUUUUCAAUUUAUAGUGUUACCAAUAUCUUUAAUUUUGAAAUCUAAUUUCAGAUGUGACAUUAUUAACCCAAGAGAUCAUGAGAAAUUAUUAAAUUUGUGUGCAGGCAACAAAAACAAAAAUAGACAAAUGGAACUUAAUUAAACUAAAAAGCUUCUGCACACCAAAAAAAAAAAAAAAAAAAAAAAAAAAAUCAACAGAAUAAAAUGACAACCUGCAGAAUGGGAGAAAAUAUGUGCAAAUUAUAUAUACAACAGGGGAUGAAUAUCCAAACUAUAUAUCCAACAGGGGAUGAAUAUCCAGAAUUUAUAAGGAACUCAGACUACUAACAACAGCAAAAAUAAUCUCAUCAAAAACUGGGCUAAGGGUAUCUAUAGACACUUUUCAAAAGAUGGCAAACAGGCCAGGCACAGUGGCUCAGGCCCAUAAUCCCAGCACUUUGGGAGGCUGAGGCAGGCGGAUCACCUGAGGUCAGGAAUUGGAGACCAGCCUGGCCAACGUAUAGUGAAACCUCGUCUCUACUAAAAAAAUACAAAAAUUAGCUGGGCAUGGUGGCGCAGGCCUGUAGUCCCAGCUACUUGGGAAACAGAGGCAGGAGAAUAGCUUGAACCCGGGAGGUGGAGGCUGCAGUGAGCCGAGAUCGCACCACUCUACUCCAGCCUAGGCAACAGAGCGAGACUCCAUCUCUCAAAAAAGAAAAAAUAAAUAAAAAUAGAGCUACCAUAUGAUCCAGCUGGGUAUCUACUCAAAGGAAAAAUAAUUAAAUCAAAAAGAUACCUGCACAUAGAUGUUUAUUACAGCACUAUUCACAAUAGCAAAGAUAUGGAAUCAACCUAAGUUUCCAUCAACCCAUGAUUGGAUAAGAAUAUGUGGUAUAUAUAUAUGAAUACUCUUCAGCCAUAAAAAAGAAUGAAAUCAUGUCUUUUGCAGCAACAUAGAUGAAACUGGAGGCUAUUUUCUUUUCUUUUCUUUUUUUUUUUUUUUGAGACGGAGUCUCGCUCUGCCGCCCAGGCUGGAGUGCAGGGGCGCGAUCUCGGCUCACUGCAAGCCCCGCCUCCCGGGUUCACGCCAUUCUCCUGGCUCAGCCCCCGGAGUAGCUGGGACUAGAGGCUCCCGCCAACACGCCUGGCUAAUUUUUUUGGUAUUUUUGGUAGAGACGGGGUUUCACCAUGUUAGCCAGGAUGGUCUUGAUCUGCUGACCUCGUGAUCCGCCCGCCUGGGCCUCCCAAAGUGUUGGGAUUACAGGCGUGAGCCACCACGCCUGGCCUGGAGGCUAUUUUCUUAAGUGAAAGAAUUCAGACACAGAAAGACAAAUACCACAUGUUCUCACUUCUAAGUGGGUGUUGAAUAAUGUGUACACAUGGAAGUAGAGUGUGGAAUGAUAGACAAUGGAGACUUAGGUUGGUGGGGUGGUGAGAAGAGGGUUGGCUGAGGACAAUGAGAAAGCACUUAAUGGUACAAUGUACAUUACUCCAGUGAUGGAUACACUAAAAACACUGACU